UGGGGAAUAUUGCACAAUGGGCGAAAGCCUGAUGCAGCAACGCCGCGUGAGUGAUGAAGGCCUUCGGGUUGUAAAGCUCUGUCUUUUGGGACGAUAAUGACGGUACCAAAGGAGGAAGCCACGGCUAACUACGUGCCAGCAGCCGCGGUAAUACGUAGGUGGCAAGCGUUGUCCGGAUUUACUGGGCGUAAAGGAUGCGUAGGCGGAUUUUUAAGUGAGAUGUGAAAUACCCGGGCUUAACUUGGGUGCUGCAUUUCAAACUGGGAAUCUAGAGUGCGGGAGAGGAGAAUGGAAUUCCUAGUGUAGCGGUGAAAUGCGUAGAGAUUAGGAAGAACACCAGUGGCGAAGGCGAUUCUCUGGACCGUAACUGACGCUGAGGCAUGAAAGCGUGGGUAGCAAACAGGAUUAGAUACCCUGGUAGUCCACGCCGUAAACGAUGAGUACUAGGUGUAGGAGGUAUCGACCCCUUCUGUGCCGCAGUUAACACAAUCAAGUACUCCGCCUGGGAAGUACGAUCGCAAGAUUAAAACUCAAAUGAAUUGACGGGGUCAUAGCUGUUUUCC
rnacentral:rRNA from 1 species